GCCGGGGUGGCGAAAUGGUAGACGCAAGGGCCUUAAGAGCCCUCGGUCCAAAAGACCAUGCGAGUUCGAGUCUCGCCCCCGGCA
rnacentral:tRNA from 1 species